CCAGACUCAAGCAAACGCAGUUCUAAGCUACAAAAAAGAAACAAGAAAAGACGCAGGGAAAGGACAUCAUCACUGAUUGACUGCUGGUUGGCCAGUGGAGUAGUAUUAGCAAAAUGAUCCUUCCUUCCAAAAAUGGGUAUACUCACUUCAUGUGUGAUGACCUACAAGAGGUAACAAAAGGGAAAAUAUCAACGCUUGCGCAGUCGUGAACUAUACAAAAAAAGGAACAAGAAAAAGGGACCUGGAAGGACAGCGCCACUGCUAGUGUUGACUAGUACUGUAUUACUAGUAUCAAAAGCAUUGUUCCUUCCGCAGAAGGAUACGCUCGCUCCGUGUGUGGUAACCACAAGAGGCAACAAAAAAACUACAGUAGAAAGAUCAACGCUCGCGGCCAUGGUAGUCGACAGACGUGGCCCUAGUACUCUAAUCCAAACAAAAGAUGUGGGCGAGACACAUCCAGCUCUGCCCGCCUGCAGGUUAAAGUCAUCAAAUUAAAGAUGUAGAGCCACGCGCGCGAGCUGACGCGUCGAUGCGCGCAGUCCUGCACUGUACUGCCUCCUUCCUACUCCAAUCAGAUAUGUUUAGAUUGUAUGGCCAAGAGGGCGAGAUAACGAGAUGAUGUGUGCGUGUAACCUGUCCUCUCUUUGGAAGACGACGUACGUCUCGAUCACUUCAGAAUAUAGUUUGAUUUUUCUUGACCCAAUCAGAUAUUUAGAUUUAGUACUGUUGCAUUUCAUUUUUACACGGCUGUAAGUGUUACAAUGUGUAUAUUUUUAAGGGAAAUAUAUGUUGGCUAUCGAUAUAUGUUUGGAUCCAAUAAAAGUAUAAAGCAAGCGAGGUUAAAUUUGUCUAGCUUCUCACCCGGAGCUGAUCAGAGCAUGCAUGUUCAGGGAGACUCUCCACUUGCAUGGUGUAUCGCCGGCGCCGGAGCAAGGCCAGGAGGCGGUCCAAGCCUCCAAUAAAAUCUCUGGCUUGGCACUUUCGCCACCGACCAGAUGGCGGGGCUCGCAACGCUGCGCCGAGACCGUCGAGGCGUUCCAGCAGUGCUCGGUCGCUUGCACGGCGGAGACGACGUGGACGCAACGGCACUUUGAGCUCGCCGGCGAGCUCUUGUUCGGUGCAUGCAAGGGCGGCCCCUGCCUCCAGGGAUCCACCGCCUGCCGCGCAGGGUAUAUAACGUGGUGGGAGGCCGGGACUGGGAGCCGAGUGCAGCUCGCACUUGGGUUCUCAGCGGGCUCAGUAGUUCAUGGGAAAAGCUUGUGGUUUCUACUCUGGGAAGCACUUUUUUAAGGCAUCAAACAACAGUAUGGGAAAGGAAAAGAUGAAGAAAGCGUUGAAAAUGAUGGCUGUUGACGGUAAACUCGCAGGAUGAUUGAAAAAAAAGAUGCUAUUGGUUCCUGCAUGCCUCCUGAGUCCUGACCACAAAUAGCAGGGACGGGACAACCUAGUUCGGGUAGCUAGAUGGAGGUGGU
rnacentral:lncRNA from 1 species